UUUGAAUGGCUUAUGUAUGCAAGUAUGUAUGUAGUAAAAGUCCAGGAUUUUCAUAUUUAUAUACAACUCGCAUUUCUGCUUCUAUUGGUCUCACUUUUGACUCUGAUGUUUUUAAAUUAAUUUUUAAAUACUUUGGUGCUGCUGUGAUCCAUCUCUCCUUCCCAAGUGCUAGGGUUGUAGACCUGUGCCACUGGGUUUGGCUUUUAGGUGAUGUUUUUGGUGAUGAAAAGUGGUAGGAUCACCUUUGUUACUUACUGUCCAUGUGACUUUAGAGAAAUUAUGAAAUGUUCCUGGGGUUCAAUUUUCUCAUCUAACAAAUAGUGAGUGUGUUUGGUGAUUACUGUAUUAUGAACUUAUUGCCAAUGUAAGUGAGUUUAUGGGUUGUAAGAUACUGUGUCUGGUGAGCCAAAUAGUUCAGUGGGGAGAGCAUUAGCCUGAAGAUGCUUUGUUGACUUUAACAUUCUCUGUAAGAGUUGUUUCAGAAGAACAAAUUAGAAAGGAAUAUGUAGAACUUAUCAAAAGCAAUGUAGAGGUAGCAAGGUAAAAUGAAUAAUGACUGACAGCUCUUAGGGAGAAAAAAAACACUAAUUGUCUCUGUCCCUGCCGUCUUUCUCCCUCCCUCAAAAGAACCACUUAAUACAUCAAUAAUUGAAGUUCCUUGCUCCAGAGACCGACUUCAGUAGCACCUGAGGUUGGCUUAUUGUAAGAUUUCUAUCAGGCUUUUUUUCCUGGUCUUUUUUCCCCUGUAUUGUAGUCAUUGAUUUUUCAAAAGGGUAAAUCUGAUCAUUUAAUUUGUGUGCUUAAAUUAUUUCUAGCUUUAUAAUUAAGAUGAAAUAUUAUUUCUCAUUUCUUUAAGAUAAGUGAGUUCCUUUCCUAACAUCUUUUUAGCCUUAGAGACUCCACAAUUCUCCCCCAUUCCUAAAUAUGUAAUUGUCUAAGGCAUGUUGAAUUCUUUGUGGUACCUGACAAUAGAUUCUUUUUCUUCCAAAUCUUUUCACAUACCUCACCUUUUCUAGAUCUCCAUUACUGUUUUCCCCAACUGGUCUGACUCAUUCUUUAGUUCUUGGUAAGCUGUCUACAUAGUUAUUAAUAUGUAUGGAUGCUUUGUCUAUUUGUACUGUGCAUGUGUCUGAUACCCUUAGAGACUAGAAGAAGGUGUUGGAUUCCCUGGGACUAGAGCUAUAGAUGGUUGUGAGUGGUUGCUGAGAAUUGAACAUGGGUCCUCUUGCAAGAAUAGCCAGGGCUCUUGACCAAUGAGCCAUCUUUUCAGCCUCCUGGCAUUGAUGUUUUAUUAUUUAAGAUUUUUAAGCCAUAGGUCAGUUGAAAGAAUAGUAGAGUGAGCACCACACUACCCCCAAUUUUUUUUUUUUUUUUUGACAAACUGGUGUGGAUAUUUCCCCCAUUUUCAAACAUGCGUCUCCCAAUUAUAAGACUAUUCUGCAGGAUUAUAGUUAUGGUAUCUAAGAAUGUCAGUAUUUACGUGGUAGCAUCAUUUGCCAUAGAGUUAACGCUUAAACAUUCUCAGUUGUCUACUGUGUUCUCACUUAAUCUGCCCCACUCUAUCACCAUGAGUUGAAUGGUCAAAAGUAGCUUAAAAAAGGAGUCCUUAGGCUGGACACAGGGCUUCUACUCUGUAGUGACAAUUUUGACAUUUUGGUUUCUUUAGAAAACACAGAAAUAUUACAAGAAUAUGUCUUUAUUUUAAUCCCAGGUAUGGGAUAUGGACCUGCUUCAGAUUGUCCUCAGCAGCUGGCUAUGAUUUGCCUCAUGCCCUAGCAGGGGCGUAAUUUUUCCAGUGGCAGACAGUGUCUACAGUCGUGUGACAUUUGGAAUUCUGUUGACUUAUCAGAGAAUAUAUAAUGCUAGGGCCCCAAGAGGCAGACUGGGUUGUUGGUUGGUUGCUGUUGGUUUCUGUUUAAGUAGUCCUGCAUAAAGAUGAAACAAGAAGAAAUUAGAUGUCUGACAGUGAAACUCAAACUUGCCUCUAAUGAACAGGAAGUUGUUUAAUGAUAAUGUUGCCCCCUUUCCUCUCUAUCCUUUUUUCCUCUCCUGUUUAGAGUUAGAGGUUUGAAAGGAUAGAAGAAGGGGGAUGGAAAAGGGUGGAAGAAAAAGAGCCCACAAAGUAGCUGAAAGUCCAGGUAUAUAUAAUAUACAUAUAAAAAUUAAUGUACCUAAUUGCCAAUUAUACACAACUCCUACCUUUUGGACCUAAAAUAUAGUUGUCUGUUCUUUUUAAGAUUAACCCACUGUCUGACUGUUCACCAAUUCUAGUAUUUCCCAUCUCUUGGCAAAGCCAAUCCUCCCACUCCCAAAAAAAAGUUCAAGUACCAAAUUAAUGUUCUGUUCAUCAAACCUAUCUCCUUGACCUACAAAUUCUUUUUUUUUUUCUUUUAAAGAUUUACUUAUUUAUUAUAUGUAAGUACACUGUAGCUGUCUUCAGACACACCAGAAGAGGUCGUCAGAUCUCGUUACAGAUGGUUAUGAGCUGGGAUUUGAACUCUGGACCUUUGGAAGAGCAGUCGGGUACUCUUACCCACUGAGCCAUCUCACCAGCCCAGAGCUACCAAUUCUUGAUUCCUCCUCAUUGCCAAACCCCCAAGGCCCACCUCUUCAGCAACCUGUCUUCCAUUUCAACACUUACUCGGCUUAGGAUAAAAGAAAGGCCUACUCAUUAAAUCUAGCAGCCUAUAUAAUAUAUUCAGUCUUCAUUUGACUUGACCUUACUGUCCUCAAAAGUGACUUUAGAAGGUAUGAAAGCUGAGCGUGGUGGCGCACGCCUUUAAUCCCAGCACUUGGGAGGCAGAGGCAGGCGGAUUUCUGAGUUCAAGGCCAGCCUGGUCUACAGAGUGAGUUCCAGGACAGUCAGGGCUACAGAGAAACCCUGUCUUGAAAAACC
rnacentral:lncRNA from 1 species